GAUCUCCAACAUUAACUGCUUUUGAGAGACAUCUGACACAAACGUCAUUAUUCAUAGUAUUUCAGAACAGUUGGAGAAUAUUAACUGCAAUAAAACUGGGCCGUAAAGAAAAAAAGCAUGAGAUCUGAAAGUAAACAUUGUACUGUUGUCCACCUGAAUAAAAUGGCAGCAUCAUGAUUGCUAUACUGGAGACUGAACUUUUUUCCCCCAGAGUUCACUUUAAACUGGAUCCUUUUAUGACUCAUCUUAUGACUUGACUCCUAUUUUGAAUUAAACAGAUUUUUUUUUUAAUGUAGCAAUCUGGAUACAAGUAAACACUCAUCUUUAACAGUAAAAACUAAAGACUUUUUCCACAUAAACAGCUGCACUUUGCUGACUGAUGCGAGGUUGUAACUUGGUUGUAAUUCCCUGCUCAGAAACACUGAAGAAAAAACCCUAAACUUCAAUUUGGGUAGUCUUCUCAACUGCCAGUUUCCUGCCUUUUUUCUUUUUGGGAGUGAAACCAACAACCCAACAAGGCUGCACAAAUUGAACGAUGCAGGCAGUUUCUGAUUGGAGACAAAGUUCAGCAUCACCACCACACAUAAAAAGAGACUCUAAAACCACAGGCAAAGGGGGCGGAAAGCAUCGGGCAUAGUGGCUUCCACCCUUCUUGGCAGGGAGGGUGUUAACUGCUCUUACUGACCCUGGACUUAUUUUUGAAUGGACGGUUAUAGAAGUGGAAUAAGCAGGAUGCCUGUGCAGUUGCCUCCAGAGCCCACCUACACAUUACCAUACGGGAGUGUUGAAAUGAAAAGGGCCUCGUUUGCUUGGGCAAGUGUUUAAAAAGGGGAGCGUUUUGUCAAUUGUAAAGGAACAACAGGUUCAAUAAAGCACAGAUAAUGGCUUCCUGUCUGCGGCAUGACUGAAGGACUAUCAAUGCUCCCUCCCAGCAGAGAACAGGGAGGAGGGGGAAAUGACAAGUUUCUCAUUCUGUGUGAGGUCCCUGUAUGUACAGACCUGUUUUACAGCAGCCUACACAAAUAAACCAUCACAUUUUAAUACUCAACUUAAGCAAUAAAGUUCAAGGAAACAAUCAAAUUAAUAAUUAACAGCCUGACUGGCUGAGCAAAGAACAUUCUGUCUUUCUGCUGUUGUAUUCAACAGGAAUUAAACAUAAACCUAGGGAAUAAUGUAAGAUCAUUAGGAUAAGCUAAUAAAAUUAGAGGAGUGACACGGCUCUAAAACUUAUCUAUACCACUUUCAAGAACUGUUCUACUCACAGUACACGCCUUAGAUUACACUGCCUACACACCAAGAACUGACUGCAGAGGUCAAGAUUCGUUCCAUAUGUGUUUUACAGUGCUGACUCACAUGGUCAUUAAGUACAAAUCAACCAUCACUGUGCUUUACCAGACUCUUUAAUAUAAACUAAAUAUACUCCGGUGCGUCAAAUUGUAUGGACGUAAAUAAAAACGUAUGACGAUAUACCACAGCUCAAAAAGUAAUGCAGUUAUAAAAAUGAGUUAUGAUAGCUGAAGUUACGUGGAGUUUUGUGCUUCAGGAUGCAAACCCUCAGGAUACACUAAGAACAGUGUUUUAACAAUGACUAACAGGCUGCUGCUGCUGCUGAGCUCUAUGAGCAUGAAUGAAUGUGUGAAAAGUAAAUCACACGAUUCAUUUGCACUAUUCUCACACAAACAUGGCAAGCUUCAGUUUAUUACUUUUUUAAUAAAAGACUAAGUGCAAGAAAAGGAAAAGCUUUAAAUUCACUCUAGCAAUAGAGUCAGUAGAAAAACUGAGCAGGACCAGACGGUGCUCAGACUUCUCUCAGCCAUGUGCCUUGUGCUUAUUUAAUGUCUUUUCAUCAUACAACUGAAAGCACAACUAAAGUUUCUAAAACAUUUUAGGACAGCAUUACCUCAAAUCAAAUUCCAACAAGAAAUAAAAGGCUAUUUGUUUGAAGAAGAAAAAAAAGCACCACCAUUUAAUACAUUAUCUUCCGAUUUGAGCAAACCUAAUCUUGUUCAACUGGAAGCCAAAAGAAAGCACACCAGCAACGUAUCCUCUUACAUAAAAUGAAGUGGUCAUCAGAACACAUCUUAGAUCAAUGAGGGGCAUAAUGCAUAUCGCUUCACACACCACCUCCACGCUGUUUCAAAUGGCAGAGAUGCCCAACACUAACAUAGGAUUAAAAACUAUUAAUGUACAUUACUGUCUAAAAACCUGUAUAAGUGAAUGCACUUAACUCUGUAUUCAUAUUUCUGUUAGACUGGUGCAUACUGUAUUAGUUAUUCAUUCUAUACAGGUAUUAGUAUUAGUCUGUAACUGUACAGAAUAUACAAUUUUAUAUUGUUCAGCAAGACUAUUUAGUACAGGCACAAGGUUUGCACAGCUGUAAAAAGUUAAAGUUCAAUUGAAAGCAGAGCCUGGCCCUGUGAGUCACACUGAAAAUGAGGAUGUGAAAUCGAUUCUUGCUGCGCCGGAUUGCCCAUGGCUGCAUUGACCUUUAGCUGAAUGUCAUUGCUUCAUCGUGGUCUUCCUCUGUGCCGAUCCCAGAACAUAUCUGUGCUGUGGAAAUGCUGCUAGGAUAAACCGAGGUGACCUGACUAGCAAGUGUGUGUUUUUUCCCACAUGCUCUGUCUGACACAAUGUGGUAAUAAACAUAACCCAGUUUUAAAUCUUACAAAAGGUUAAAAACAACAAUUAAAAACAAACAAAAAAGGGUUUAGUUUAAUGCUAAGUGUUGUAGUGAACAUACAGCUAGUGGCUAAGCACAAGUCAGAGCUAACCUUUAUCCUACAGCACACAUUAAACUGACUUACUCUCAAUUAUCUGCUUGUUUACAAUUCUCAAUAUAUUAAACAUCCACAUUCGCUGGGAUAUAAAGGUGCUUUAUAGGUGUGUUUAAAUUCACAGAAAAUAAAACUCGGCCCACAAGGUCCAGGUACGUGGCCGGGUAUCUAAACAGAACACUAUGGAACCAAAUAGUGGGCAGAAUUUUACCCCACUGGCACGAUUCUGAAGCUCUAGUGCAUGUGUGCGUGUGCGCGCGUCCUGUCGUUUCUAUUGAAUGACGCGCGCGCGCGGCCUGACAGUUCAGCUCUUUUAUGAAUGAGAGCAGCGUCACGCGACCCCGAGGGAGAAAACAACUCCCUCUGCCCUUCUUCCGUCCGAUAAAACUGCGUCCAUUCAACACCGAGGCCUCUUAUUAUUUUUGUCUUUUUACGCGAUUAGAAACACAGCAUUAAAAUGUCCGCGACAUCUGCACGUACAUUAAUAACACACAUAUAUAGUACCUAAAGAUCAGACAAUAAACAAAACCGUGGCUUAGAAAUAAACGUCUAUAAGUCAUAAGUACAAACCCUGCACAUGUACAAAUGAGAAGAAAAAAUGAAACUGUUCCCUAAAAUUCAGGUACUGAGAAAAAGGAUAUUUGUUAGUGUAGGAAAGCAAAGCAAGAAAACAU